CGGGGCGUGGCUCAGUCUGGUAGAGCACCGCGUUCGGGACGCGGGGGCCGGAGGUUCGAAUCCUCUCGCCCCGACCA
rnacentral:tRNA from 5 species